UACAGAGGGUGCGAGCGUUCAUCGGAAUUACUGGGCGUAAAGCGUGCGUAGACUGUUUCGUCAGUCGGGUGUGAAAGCCCCGGGCUCAACCUGGGAAUUGCAUUCGAGACUGCGUAGCUAGGGUGCGGAAGAGGGAAGCGGAAUUCACGGUGUAGCAGUGAAAUGCGUAGAUAUCGUGAGGAACACCAGAGGCGAAGGCGGUUACCUGGACAGUUACUGACGCUCAGGCACGAAAGCAUGGGGAGCAAAAGGG
rnacentral:rRNA from 1 species